UACUGAAGGCCCGAGCGUUAAUCGGAAUCACUGGGCUUAAAGCGUACGCAGGCGGACUUGUAGGUAUUUUGUGAAAUCCCACGGCUUAACCGUGGAACUGCAGAGUAAACCACAAGUCUUGAGACAAGUAGGGGUCAGUGGAACUAUGAGUGGAGCGGUGAAAUGCGUAGAUAUUCAUGGGAACGCCAAUGGCGAAGGCAACUGACUGGGCUUGUUCUGACGCUCAGGUACGAAAGCGUGGGUAGCGAACGGGAUUAGAUACCCCGGUAGUCCACGCCGUAAACGAUGCACACUAGGUCGCGGUACCUCUCAUGGUUUCGCGGCCGAAGGUAAACUGAUUAGUGUGCCGCCUGGGGAGUACGGUCGCAAGGCUAAAACUCAAAGGAAUUGACGGGGGCUCACACAAGCGGUGGAGCAUGUUGCUUAAUUCGAGGCAACGCGAAGAACCUUACCUAGGCUUGACAUGUAUGGAUUAACCUUUCGAAAGAUAGGCCACGCCCUUGGGUGGAACAUACACAGGUGCUGCAUGGCUGUCGUCAGCUCGUGCUGUGAAGUGUCGGGUUAAGUCCCUUAACGAGCGCACCCCCUAUCGUUAGUUACUAACGCGUUAUGGCGAGGACUCUAGCGAGACUGCCGGUGUCAAACCGGA
rnacentral:rRNA from 1 species